UACGAAGGGUGCAAACGUUGCUCGGAAUCAUUGGGCGUAAAGCGCACGUAGGCGGCCCCAAAAGUUGGAUGUGAAAUCCCUCGGCUCAACCGAGGACGUGCAUCCAAAACUGUGGGGCUUGAGUACUGAAGAGGAUCGCGGAAUUCCCGGUGUAGAGGUGAAAUUCGUAGAUAUCGGGAGGAACACCAGUGGCGAAGGCGGCCCACUGGUCCGGUACUGACGCUGAGGUGCGAAAAGCGUGGGGGAGCAAACAGGAUUAGAAAACCCCU
rnacentral:rRNA from 1 species